rnacentral:snRNA from 1 species
UUAUAUUACUUAUGUGGUUUAAA